rnacentral:rRNA from 1 species
UACAGAGGGUGCUAGCGUUGUCCGGAAUCACUGGGCGUAAAGGGUGCGUAGGCGGCUUUGUAAGUCAGUGGUGAAAUAUGGCGGCUUAACUGUCAGGGUGCCAUUGAUACUGCAGAGCUUGAGUACAGAUGAGGUAGGCGGAAUUGACGGUGUAGCGGUGAAAUGCUUAGAUAUCGUCAAGAACACCUAUAGCGAAGGCAGCUUACUAGGCUGUAACUGACGCUGAGGCACGAAAGUGUGGGGAUCAAACAGG